AAGUCGUAACAAGGUCUCCGUUGGUGAACCAGCGGAGGGAUCAUUACAGGACUCGAAAGACUCCCGUAACCCCUGUGAACAUACCUAUAUUCGUUGCCUCGGCGGGUGCUCCGGUUCGUCCGGGGCGCUACGCCCGCCGGUGGCCCAAUACUCUGUCUCGCGCGUUGGCAUCUCCGAGUACAUACAAAUAAGUUAAAACUUUCAACAACGGAUCUCUUGGUUCUGGCAUCGAUGAAGAACGCAGCGAAAUGCGAUAAGUAAUGCGAAUUGCAGAAUUCAGUGAAUCAUCGAAUCUUUGAACGCACAUUGCGCCCGCCGGUAUCCCGGCGGGCAUGCCUGUUCGAGCGUCAUUACAACCCUCAGGCCCUGCCUGGCGUUGGGGCCCUGCGCUGCAGGCCUCUAAAGACAGCGGCGGGUGCGUCCCACAACCGAACGCAGUAGUUACUUCUCGUUCCGGGUGUAGGCGUACGCUUGCCGUAAAACCCCCAAUUUUACAGGGUUGACCUCGGAUCAGGUAGGAAUACCCGCUGAACUUAAGCAUAUCAAUAAGCGGAGGAAAAGAAACCAACAGGGAUUGCCUCAGUAACGGCGAGUGAAGCGGCAACAGCUCAAAUUUGAAAUCUGGCCCUAGGCCCGAGUUGUAAUUUGCAGAGGAUGCUUCUGGUUAGGUGCCUUCCAAGUCCCCUGGAACGGGGCGCCGAAGAGGGUGAGAGCCCCGUCCGGUUGGCCGCCAAGCCUGUGUGAAGCUCCUUCGACGAGUCGAGUAGUUUGGGAAUGCUGCUCUAAACGGGAGGUAGACCCCUUCUAAAGCUAAAUAUUGGCCAGAGACCGAUAGCGCACAAGUAGAGUGAUCGAAAGAUGAAAAGCACUUUGAAAAGAGGGUUAAAAAGUACGUGAAAUUGUUGAAAGGGAAGCGCUUGUGACCAGACGUGUGCCGGGGUGUUCAGCGGGCGUUCUCGCCCGUGCACUCGCCCCGGUACAGGCCAGCGUCGGUUCGCGUGGGGGGACAAAGGCGUUGGGAACGUAGCUCCUCCGGGAGUGUUAUAGCCCAGCGUGUCAUGCCCCCGCGCGGACCGAGGUACGCGCUCCGCAAGGACGCUGGCGUAAUGGUCUCCAGCGGCC
rnacentral:rRNA from 1 species